AGACAAACAAACUUCAGAGAGAAGACACUCCAAGUUCACUCAUAGGUUCAGUCCAAAGAUGCCAAGGAGGAGGAGAAGGAGGCAUAUGCAAACAAUGGUCUCUCAUCAAAAAGUGUAAUCUUAAAAGACAAAUAGAAAAAAAGAAGUGUCAUGAAAUCAUCUCAAAAGACAUGUCGACAGAUCAUGCAGGGAUGUCACCAAUGUUUACUCACCUGGAUGACCAGGUAUCUUUGGGGAUCACGAGCCAUCCGAGUGAACUCUGCAGCCAGCUCCUUGAACUUGGGCCGACUGUCUGCGUCGAUCAUCCAGCCUGUGAGAAUGUGUUUCAGUUAGCGUCAGACCAAUACAUCCAAACUGGUUGGCCCAGGCUCAGAGAAUCAGUAAGAGCCAAGGUGACGGUGAGGCCCAGAGGCGGCAGCUUGGAGACUAGAGGACAAGGCCGAGGUGGAGCUGGCACCAAGUCUUUGUCCUGGCAGCAGUGGCCAGAGGUUACAUAUCCACCUGCGACCCGAGUGCCUGACGGCGUGACAGCAGCGACCGACCAAUAAGGCAAACAUGUCCGUGGUGGGGGUCACAGCCCGCCAGAAAAAUUAGUUCCUAAUUAAUCUUCUACCUGAACUUUGUUCUUUUUGAAAUAUUUCUCACUAUUAUAACCAUCAGAGAGAUGCUUCUGUGUGGCCUUCGUAUUUUUUGCCACCAUCGGCUGAAAUUAUAAAACAGUAGCUGAGAUGAAUUUUUUGAAUAGUAAUGUUUCGGCUUUAAAAAAAAUCUCAUCUCUAACACUGC